AUUGAACGCUGGCGGCAGGCUUAACACAUGCAAGUCGAACGAGUGGCGGAAGGGUGAGUCAUGCUUGUGAAUCUGGCUUAUGGAGGGGGAUAACUACGGGCAACUGUAGCUAAUACCGCGUACCAUAGGAUGAGCCCAAGGCGGAGUAGGUAGGUGGGUAGGUAAAGGCUCACCAAGACGACGAGCUCUAGCUGGUCUGCGAGGAUGACCAGACACACUGGGACUGAGAACCGGCCCAGACUCCUACGGGAGGCAGCAGUGGGGAAUAUUGCGCAAUGGGGGAAACCUGACGCAGCAAGGCCGCGUGAAUGAAGAAGGCCUUCGGGUUGUAAAGUUCUUGCGGUAGCGAGGCGUUAACUACAGAAGAAGCACCGGCUAACGCCGUGCCAGCAGCCGCGGUAAUUC
rnacentral:rRNA from 1 species